rnacentral:piRNA from 1 species
UCCACCAAGUCUUAGGGGAUCCCGUUAGA